rnacentral:rRNA from 1 species
AUUGAACGCUGGCGGCAGGCGUAACACAUGCAAGUCGAGCGGGGUGAUGGUGCUUGCACUAUCACUUAGCGGCGGACGGGUGAGUAAUGCUUAGGAAUCUGCCUAUUAGUGGGGGACAACAUCUCGAAAGGGAUGCUAAUACCGCAUACGUCCUACGGGAGAAAGCAGGGGAUCACUUGUGACCUUGCGCUAAUAGAUGAGCCUAAGUCGGAUUAGCUAGUUGGUGGGGUAAAGGCCUACCAAGGCGACGAUCUGUAGCGGGUCUGAGAGGAUGAUCCGCCACACUGGGACUGAGACACGGCCCAGACUCCUACGGGAGGUAGCAGUGGGGAAUAUUGGACAAUGGGGGGAACCCUGAUCCAGCCAUGCCGCGUGUGUGAAGAAGGCCUUAUGGUUGUAAAGCACUUUAAGCGGGGAGGAGGCUCUUUUGGUUAAUACCCAGAAUGAGUGGACGUUACUCGCAGAAUAAGCACCGGCUAACUCUGUGCCAGCAGCCGCCGUAA